AGCUUUGCGCAGUGGCAAUAUCAUAACCAAUGAGGGUCUCCCCGAGGUGUGAUUAUUGCUAGUUGAAAAACUUUAACCAAUACCCCCGCCACGAUGAAGUGAAAUAAUCUUUGUCGUCGGCAAUUUUUGAUAGCUCCAUCAGGAG